rnacentral:rRNA from 1 species
GGUUUCCGUAGGUGAACCUGCGGAAGGAUCAUUAUUGAAUAAACCUGAUGUGAUUGUUAGCUGGCUUUUCGAAGCAUGUGCUCGUCCGUCAUCUUUAUCUCUCCACCUGUGCACAUUUUGUAGUCUUGGAUACCUCUCGAGGAAACUCGGAUUUUAGGAUCGCUGUGCUGUACAAGUCGGCUUUUCUUUCAUUUCCAAGACUAUGUUUUUAUAUAUACACCAAAGUAUGUUUAUAGAAUGUCAUCAAUGGGAACUUGUUUCCUAUAAAAUUAUACAACUUUCAGCAACGGAUCUCUUGGCUCUCGCAUCGAUGAAGAACGCAGCGAAAUGCGAUAAGUAAUGUGAAUUGCAGAAUUCAGUGAAUCAUCGAAUCUUUGAACGCACCUUGCGCUCCUUGGUAUUCCGAGGAGCAUGCCUGUUUGAGUGUCAUUAAAUUCUCAACCUUCCAACUUUUAUUAGCUUGGUUAGGCUUGGAUGUGGGGGUUGCGGGCUUCAUUAAUGAGGUCGGCUCUCCUUAAAUGCAUUAGCGGAACUUUUGUGGACCGUCUAUUGGUGUGAUAAUUAUCUACGCCGUGGAUGUGAAGCAGCUUUAUGAAGUUCUGCUUCUAACCGUCCAUUGACUUGGACAAUUUUUGACAAUUUGACCUCAAAUCAGGUAGGA